rnacentral:rRNA from 1 species
CACCGGCGGCUCGAGUGGUGGCCACUUUUAUUGGGUCUAAAGCGUCCGUAGCCGGCUUGGCAAGUCCCCUGGGAAAUCUGGCGGCUUAACCGUCAGGCGUCCAGAGGAUACUGCCAGGCUUGGGACCGGGAGAGGUGAGAGGUACCUCAGGGGUAGGGGUGAAAUCUUGUGAUCCCUGAGGGACCACCAGUGGCGAAGGCGUCUCACUAGAACGGGUCCGACGGUCAGGGACGAAAGCUGGGGGCACGAACCGU